AAUUUAUUAGGAUUAUUUGCACACAAAGAAACCUUACUACCCAAAUGAAAAAACCCCUUUCUGAACCUAAAUCUCAGUCUUCAAUCUCCGCAACUCCAUCUCCACCGUCUUCCGCUAAUCAGCACCACCACCUAUCUCUGCAAAUCCAUCUUCACUGUCUAACUCUGAACUCAAAAGUCAAAAUUCUUCUGAAGAAAUUGUGCCCUAAAUUGAAGAAAUCGUCGCCACCGAUUGAAGAAACGAUCUGAUUUCUGAAGCAAAGAAAAUCCAAGGAUAAAUGGAGGAGUAUGAUGUAGCUGCAACUGGUGAGGGUUUUAGGCCGGAAAUUAAGGCACCAGCAGCAACCAUAGAAUCCAUCUUUCAAUCUCCUUCAUCCCCUAAAACUGCUGAGGAGGCAAAAAAUACAGUAAAGCUUAGGAUCUUACAGUAAACACGCCAGAUGGGAAGCCUCCACUUAGUAGGUGUUAACUAUUUCACAGAGAAAUCCAUGGGAGCAUGUACUGGGAGUGGGACUUGGAGCUGUAUUCGUAAAUCAGUUGGUCAAAUGGGAUGCUCAGCUUCAAGUUGAUCUUCACAAGAUGCUCGACGAAGCUAAGGCUGCAAAUGAACGUCGCUACUUUGAGAUGCUGAUAUUACAGUGGGAGAAGUUAUCAGUGGGAGAAGAUAAAGAGUUGAUGAAUAUCAUUCUUGCCUGUCAUGGAGAAAAUACAGGAGAUGAAAGGGAACCUGGUACAAAAUGUUGCUGUGUGGAAGACGUUGGAUUUGUUAAAUGACAAUGCUUUUAGCCAUUUAAUGGAGACAAGGAGGCGAGUCUUGAUUAAGCUUUUAAUUGAAUCUCCUGGUCCAAGGUCUCCCGGCACAAAAGUUUCCAGGUACAAAGGUCUCCAGAACAGAGGUCUCCAGGACAGAGGCUUCGGUCUCUGUGCCUGGUGGUCCGCUGCGCCCUGUCAGGCCGAUUUGCCUGGUUGGCCGCUGCGUCCUGGCGGGCCGAUGUGCCUGGUGUGCCGUUGGCCGGGUUGGCCAAUGCGUCAGGUGGUUAGCUGGGAAAUAGAGCUGCAAUAUGUGAGCAGUUUUGUCCAGGACAGUGGACCUACUCGUGUGAAUUAAACAAGCAUCAGAGUGCAAUUUUGUACUUGGCUUCAUGGUUGUCUCCUGAAGAUUUCACUGCGAAGAUAUUGCCAACUUUAGUGAAACUAUCUGCCUCGAAUGACCGACUAUUAGAGUUGGCCUUCUGCAACAUAUUGAUCAGUAUGGAGAGUCAUUAUCUUCUCAAGUUGUAGAUGAACAAGUUUAUUCUCACGUUGCCACUGGGUUUUCUGAUACACCUGUUAUUCUUCGGGAACUGGCACUAAAGUCAAUUCUCAGCUUGGCACCCUAGCUGUCUCUGCGAACUAUUGCGGGAUCUUUGCUGAAGUAUCUUUUGAAGUUUCAAGUGGAUGAAGAAGCGGCUGUUAGGACAAACACAAUUCUGUUUGGGAACAUUGCCAGCUAUCUUAAUGAUGGGAUAAGGAGGUGGGUCUUGAUUAAGCUUUGAUUGAAUCUCCUGGUCGAAGGUCUCUCGGCACAAAGGCCUCCAGGUACAUAGGUCUCCAGAACAGAGGUCUCCAGGUACAAAGUUCUCCAGAACAGUGGUCUCCAGGACAGAGGCUUCAGUCUCUGUGCCCUGGCGUGCCGCUGCUCCCUGGCGGGCCGGCGUGCCUGUUGGGCCAGGUUGGCCGAUGCAUCAGGUGGUUAGCUGCGAAAUAGAGCUGCAAUAUGUGAGCAAUUUUGUCCAGGACAGUGGACCUACUCGUGCGAGUUAAACAAGCACCAGAGUUCAAGGAUAAUGAAGGGCAAGUGCUAGUAGCCAGCCGGGGUAUUUCAGCCCCUGCAACAAUGAUCAAUUUCAAUUAAGGGCAAUCAAAACAAAUCAAGUAUAGAACCGCCAGUGAUGGAAGAAAUUCCUCAAAUGCAGAGAUAAACAUGACAAACAAGGGGAAUUAUAAGAGAAACAAGAAGAAGAGGGCAAAAUUAAUGAAAGAUAAGGCAAGGGGUUACUUGUUGUUGCAGACAUACAUGACCAGCAGCCUAAGUUCUGUAUUGUAUGAUUGUAUCGUUUGAUUGUAUUACACGAGGUGUCUGUGCUUUUCAAUGUGGUGAGCCAACAAUUCGAAGCCAAAUGUUUGAUUGGUUGUUGGUCACAUCUCUAGUCUCAUAUUUAUUAGUUGUGUUUGCAUACACUUAGGAGGUGUGAACGUUCUCAUUCUUCUGCACAUGAUAACCGUCGCCAGAGAUCAAGGUCUCCUCGAGCUUGCAGUGGUCUUGUGACUCCAACUUCUACCAUUGUGGUGAAGGGCUUGCCAAAAGAGGCAACAGAGGAAAUGAUUCAUCGGAUCCUAGCAGAGUGGAGGCCCCUUCCCAAUAUCCGAGUGAUGCCGAAAAAGAAUACUACUUUCUGCCGUGGAAUCGCAUUCGUUGAUUUUCCGUCUGUGGUAGCGGCUCGGAAAUUGAUGGAUGAAAUUGGAGACCGCGGCCUCGAUGUCAAUGGGCGUUGUCUUUUGAUUACAGACUAGGUAAAUCAAAAUUGGCUAACGAAGUUCCGAUUGUAAAUGCUGGAAUCGGUAAAUCAGAAGUGGCCGGAGAACACGAAGAUGAAAAUGAUAGUGAAGAUGAUGAAGAAGAUUGUGAUUAUGUAGAUGAAGUGGCCUCGAAAAGGCUACCAGAUUCUUGGGACCCUGAAGAAAUACAUAUGCUAAGGGAAGCCUUUCAUUAUCUUGUAAAAGAUGAUAAGAAGAAACCAUGGAAGGAAAUGUUGGAAUAUGGACAUGAUGUCUUCCAUGCUGGUCGUACCAAUGAGGAUCUAAGGUCAAAGUGGAAGUAUAUGGUGAGUCACGGCCAAUGGAAGGAUGUUUUUUUGUUUUUUUCCUCAUUUAAAUGGAACCUAAUCUAAACGACAGAAUUGGCACAACAAUCACCUUCUCAAAAUCCAUUGUCCUUGAAAUCACAUUGAGCAUCAGCAUCUAAAGGUUCAUUCUUAGCUAGCUAAUUGAGUUGAGGCAGCUGCUAAGAACUUCUGCGCGCAAUAGCUGACUCCAUUCGAAGUUGGGCUUCACAUAAUCUGCAUCUGAAGGUAUCUGGAAGUGUGGUGCUUAACAAUCUUCAAAUUCUGCAGUAGUACAUCUGUAACAUCUCACAGGCCAAAGACACAUAGGUUUGGUACGCCCAGUAAAAGACCCACCCAAGGUAAUUGAAGCUGGAAUUCAAAUUCAAAUUCAAAUUUACUGUCUGUAAUUUGUGACCAAGUGUUAAUAUUUAAAAAUACAACAACAACUAGCACAAUCCGCAUGACCAAAAAGAAGCCAACAAAAGGAAGACACAUGUCCAAAUUUUUGAAAUUCAAAAAUUGGCGGGAAAAUUCGUACAGGUAGUAACAUUUGACUUUGACCAUUCUUUUAAUAAUAAUAACCUUACUUUACUCUUUUUCUUCUCUGGUUGUCUUUGUUUUGCAGGAGAGAUAGAUAGAUAGAUAGAAUAGAUGAAGCUCAUGGAAACUCUGAUUAUUUUGAAUCUUAGGGGUUGCUGCUGGAGAGGAAGGAACUUGGAAGCCAUGAUAUAGCAAACCCCCCUUAGAUCUAGCUACUUUCAGAUUUUGAAAAAAGGCACUUCACCUAUCAAAAAAAAAAAUGGCACUUAGUUCACAAUUGGGUGCUGAUGUUAACCAUUAAGCACAUGGUAGACCACCACUCAGUUUUAUCGAAUUAAUAGGUGCACUGCUCAGUUUCGGAAACUGAACGGUGCAACGGCAGGCCACCAUUUCGUUCCGUAGAAUGAGUGUGCACUGCUCAGUCCCGGGUACUGAGCGGUGCAAUGGCAGGUCACCGUCAGUUCCUAAAACUGAGAGGUGCAAAGCUAUGUGUCUAAUGGAGAACGUCACACUUAAUGGAAGUGAGCAGCUUCCGGACAAAUGAAACUAUUGGAAAACAGGUAAAUGAGCUUCUCUUUUCCUCCUUUUUUUGUUUUUGUUUUUUUUAUUUGUCGUUUUUCUUUCGUAUUUUAUUGAAAUCACUGUUGGAAGUCUGGUACACAGCAAGGCAGUGAUACUCCCCAUGUAGUUCAGCUACAGCUGCUGAAACAUAGCUAAGUCUGAUUCUUGGGUAACGUUUCAACGUAAAUAGCCAUGUUUAGCUUUUGUUAUAUUGCUGACUUUGGUACUCUGCUAGUAUAUUUAGGUGCACAUUCUUAACACUCUCAAUGUAUACUUAAAUUGCCCUUAUAUUUGUAGAAUCCCUGAGUUUCUUUUUUGCUUGGUACAUGUCUAUCAUUUUUGUUCAAGGUUUCUGCCCCUUCUUCCGAUGAGUGUCAGGUCGGUACAUUUUUGCCUUAACAAAGAUAUUUGUUACUAACUUGUGUGUUGCUUUUGUUUUUUGCAGGUCUUGCCUUUGCAUUCCUAACUCUAACUCUAUGUUUAUUAACACUUACAAUCAUGUUUAUUAUGUUUUGCAUAAAAUUGUUUCUAACUUGAUCAUUGGAGUAUCUGUUUUUUUUUUUUGCAGGUCUCGCCUUUGUAUUCCUAACUCUAACUCCAUGUUUAUUAACCCUAACUCUACUUUUAUUAUGUUUUGCAUAAAAUUGUUUCUACCUUGAGCGUUGGAGUAUCUUUAUAGAUUUUUGCAGGUCUUGGCUUUGUACUCCUAACUCUUAACUCUACGUUUAUUAUGUUUUGCAUAAAAUUGUUUCUAACAUGAGCCUUGGAGUAUCUUUAUUGUUUUUUGCAGGUCUUGGCUUUGUAUUCCUAACUCUAACUCUAUAUUUAUUAUGUUUUGCAUAAAAUUGUUUCUAACUUUAGUGUUGGAUUAUCUUUAUUGUUUUUUUUGCAGGUCUUGGCUUUGUAUUCCUAACUCUAACUCUAUAUUUAUUACGUUUUGCAUAAAAAUGUUUCUAACUUGAGUGUUAGAGUAUCUUUAUUGUUUAAUGCAGGUCUUGGUUUUGUAUUCCUAACUCUAACUCUAACUUUAAUGCAGGUCUUGGUUUUGUUUCUAACUUGAGUGUUGGAGUAUCUUUAUUGUUUUUUGCAGGUCUUGGUUUUGUAUUCCUAACUCUAACUCUACGUUUAUUAUGUUUUGCAUAAAAUUGUUUCUAACUUGAGUGUUGGAGUAUCUUUGUUGUUUUUUGCAGGUCUUGGCUUUGUAUUCCUAACUCUAACUCUACGUUUAUUAUGUUUUGCAUGAAAUUGUUUCUGACUUGAGCCUUGGAGUAUCUUUGUUGUUUUUUGCAGGUCUUGGCUUUGUAUUCCUAAUUCUAACUCUAUGUUAAUUAACCCUUAACUCUAUGUUUAUUAUGUUUAUCUUUGUUGUUUUUUGCAGGUCUUGGCUUUGUAUUCCUAAUUCUAACUCUAUGUUAAUUAACCCUUAACUCUAGUUUAUUAUGUUUUGCAUAAAAUUGUUUCUAACUUGAGCGUCGGAGUAUCUUCCUUGUUUUUUUGCAGGUCUUGCCUUUGUAUUCUUAUGGCCAAUUCAAUUAGUAGAGUUGUUGAAACGGAAUGCUGGUGCCUCGCGGGGAACGUCAUCUGUUUGGCCUUUGAUCAGUUUGCCUCUAGGGCAUGUCUGACUUCAAAGGAUUCAAAUGAAGACAGAUCAGUCCUGUGAAUCAUGUACUAAUGAGAUCCUCAUCUUCCCUGAAGGAGGCUUCAUUUUAACUCCAAAGGUCUUGUCUGCUUAUUGGGUGGCCACUCGUCAGGGAGAACUUGUAAUGUGGAAUGCUGGUGCCUGGUAGAGAUUGCCUGGCAUUUGACCAGUCUGCUGUCAAGGCUUUUUAUGCAAAAGACGUGCCAGGAGAUUUAGCAGGAUGUGAAAAGUGCAAUGAUGCGGUGAGACUUGAUAAGCCUGGUGGUCCAUUGAGAGAUGAAAAUGAACAAUUGGUGGUUCCAGAGGUUCUUUGCCUUGCGUAGUUUUUCCUGAUGAAGCUCCGAGCAACAUUGUGCAACGAGUCUGAAGGCAAUGUCAAAGAGAUGCAAACCUAUUGGUAAAAUUGAGGAGGAUAUAUCCGCCACGAAUUCUGUUGUGGUUCACUCGAAGCUUACAUCAUGCCUUUCUGCUGCAAUCUCCUUGACUCCAUCAUCAAUAGUGAAUGAGAAAAAGAUGGAAUAGUGGUUGUAAAUUCUGACUGAGGAUGAUGUUGUGUGGGGGACAAUGGGUAGUGCCCGAAGAUAUGGUCCAAAAAAUUGAUGUUGAGGGGCUUCUCAUGUGCAGGAGAAGGCAGGCUGGUUUUUAAGAAUAUGGACCGUUUUUGUAGAUGUUUUUGAACAAUGCUAAGUUUAUUAAUAUGUAGUUAUUGUCAUUCUUUCUUUCUUGUAAAGAUGUGAUGUGAUGCGAAUAUAUGCAAGUUUUUUUUUUUAGCAGUAAUGUUAAACAUUUUGCUUGGAAUUCAACACGGAGAAUUGAUCUAAAAAA